GACGGAGGAUGCAAGCGUUAUCCGGAAUGAUUGGGCGUAAAGCGUCCGCAGGUGGCAGUUCAAGUCUGCUGUCAAAGACCGGGGCUUAACUUCGGAAAGGCAGUGGAAACUGAACAGCUAGAGUAUGGUAGGGGCAGAGGGAACUCCUGGUGUAGCGGUGAAAUGCGUAGAUAUCAGGAAGAACAUCGGUGGCGAAGGCGCUCUGCUGGACCAUAACUGACACUCAGGGACGAAAGCUAGGGGAGCGAAUGGG
rnacentral:rRNA from 1 species